rnacentral:miRNA from 1 species
AUAUAAGCACAUGUAGAAAAAAUACAACAAGCAUACCAGACCCAGUGAGAAGCAGGGACGGAGUCAAUCACCAAAGCACCCCCAGGGUGAUUGACUCUGUCCCUGCUUCUCACUGGGUCUGGUAUGCUUGUUGUAUUUUUUCUACAUGUGC